rnacentral:rRNA from 1 species
GUGUCAGCAGCCGCGGUAAUACGUAGGUCCCGAGCGUUAUCCGGAAUUAUUGGGCGUAAAGCGCGCGUAGGCGGUUUUUUAAGUCUGAUGUGAAAGCCCACGGCUCAACCGGGGAGGGUCAUUGGAAACUGGAAAACUUGAGUGCAGAAGAGGAAAGUGGAAUUCCAUGUGUAGCGGUGAAAUGCGCAGAGAUAUGGAGGAACACCAGUGGCGAAGGCGACUUUCUGGUCUGUAACUGACGCUGAUGUGCGAAAGCGUGGGGAUCAAACAGGAUUAGAUACCCGAGUAGUCC